UAGGGUAAGCUAAUUGUUAUUAUUGGCAAGGUGAAUGACAAUGAUGGAGAACCCAAAAUGGGACCACAUUAGUGAGAACAGUGAUGGAGGUAUGGAAUAUAAUAAUAAUGAGUAAAUGUUAGAAGGUGUGUGAUGGUAUUGUGGACUACCUAAAUAGGUAGAGAAAGAGAAGUUAGUAAGCAGUAAGUUGAAUAAAAGUCAAU
rnacentral:misc_RNA from 1 species